ACUCCUGACAACCAACACUUUGGCUUCCUCCGGUGUUCCGUUUAAUUUUAUAAAGAUUCUGCAGUUUGCAGUCCAAGUAUUUUGGAUUUUUUUCUGUUUCUUCUGAUAUCGUGCUCUCCUGGCAAUUUCGGCAUUGUUUUUAGUGAGGUGUUCAUUGAUGAAGACAUCGGACCCCCUCAACUUUUUCCCUUGUUUGAGUAGUGCGUUCUUGUGUUUCCUGUUUACGAACCUGAUGAUGACGGCCGGUUUGUUUGUUGGAUUUCUCCUGGGCAGUAGAUGGCAUGCUUUGAUGUUAUCGCAGUUCAGGUCUAUCCCCUUGGACUGCAGGAAAGCAGCCACCUGUUGCUCUGUGGAGCUAACAUCCAGCUCACCUGGCUCACCCUCGGUGUCAGCGGUCAGCGCCCGAGCGUAUGACCAGGGUUUUAUUUGGAGACCGGUGACAAUCACAUCAUUCAGUCUGGUGUACUGUUCCAGUUCCCGAGACUCUAUUCUCCAGAGUGGCAGUGAGACACACUGAAGACAGGCUGUCCCUUCAGUUUGUCUGCAGAGCAGCACAGUCCUCUACUCUGUAAUCUGUUCACGUCCGCAUCAGGGAGAAGAGCAAGACUUAAGAUUUGACAAGAGGCUGUAAGAAAAUGUGGCCUCCAGCCAAGUCUUCUGGAUUCCAGAGUGAAGGAGGAGAUUAAGGUGUGAGCGCUACCAACGUCUCAUUCUCGGAACCCAUCGGCUGUAUUCGGCAUCUGACUUCCGGCAGACGGCGAUACAGCCUCUGGGGGCAGACCCCUGAUUUUUUGGUAUUCCGAUUUGAGGAGG